rnacentral:rRNA from 1 species
GACGAACGCUGGCGGCACGCUUAACACAUGCAAGUCGAACGGAGUUGAGGAGGUGCUUGCACCAUCUCAACUUAGUGGCGGACGGGUGAGUAACACGUGAGCAACCUGCCUUUGAGAGUGGAAUAGCUUCUGGAAACGGAUGGUAAUACCGCAUGAAAUUAUCUGACCGCAUGAUCGGAUAAUCAAAGAUUUAUCGCUCAAAGAUGGGCUCGCGUCUGAUUAGAUAGUUGGUGGGGUAACGGCCUACCAAGUCGACGAUCAGUAGCCGGACUGAGAGGUUGAACGGCCACAUUGGGACUGAGACACGGCCCAGACUCCUACGGGAGGCAGCAGUGGGGAAUAUUGCACAAUGGGCGGAAGCCUGAUGCAGCGAUGCCGCGUGGAGGAAGAAGGUUUUCGGAUUGUAAACUCCUGAUCUGAGGGACGAUAAUGACGUACU